rnacentral:lncRNA from 1 species
AGAAAUGGGGAGGCUGGGAAGGGAAACCUGUGAGGCAAAAAUUGGAAAGGAAAGAUAGCAGCUGAGCAUUGGGAGUGAGAAGAUCAGUCCUGUAAGAAGGAUAACAAAGUCUUCAUCACACUGGCACUGCUAGCUGUUGGCAAACGCUCUUGGGACAGUGCAGGCACAAAGUGACGCUUUUGAUGAGUCUUCACCUGAAAAAAUGUAGUAUGCCAUAUUCUCCACACUAAGGAAUCUCUCUCUAAAAUUUCUGCUUUUGCUUGAAUCAGUUUGGCUUCUGUAUUGAUAGUUUGAGCACAGAUAGCUCAUUGGCUGCUGUUUCGAGCUGCGUUGACUGGCCUUGCUCCUGGGCAGGUUAGAUGGAAGUAGCACUAAGAGAUGAUGGCGCAUCUACCUUAGGGUACCCAGUAUUGCAGGCAGGCCAUGAGAGGACAGGAGGUGAGAAACAGAGGAUCUUGCUUUGGUUAUAAUUCCAAAUGACUCUGAACAAAGCAUUAUUUCUUACUUUUCUGCAUGAACCUCGGCAGCCCUUGUCCCUGCUCCUUAUGCAGCCAAGAGACACAAGAGACCCCUCAGGGCCAAGCAUGGCAAUGAGCCUGUCCCCUGAGCCAAAGCCUUCCUGGCAGUCUCUGCCCUGCACUGUGGCCCUCCUCACAGCUCCUCUGGUCCCACACGGCUUGGAUUUGCUGUGGGCUGGGCAGCUGAGGGGUGGCUGGCUGUGGGCAGCCAGCGCAGCUGCCCAGGCCACUUCCCUGUGGAAAUACCAGGGCCGGCAGGACAAUGCCUUCAGCUGGGACAUGAAGAGAGAAGCAGCACUGCUCUGGUGGCCCAGGCCUGCUGAGGUGACAUGGCUGCACAGGGUGAGGGCUGUCCCAGCUGCCUCUCACCCUGCUCUGAGCCUUGCAGCCUGGCGCGGGAUGGGGAGAACAGCUUUCACAACCUGGACGUGUUGUCACUCGCAUCCAGACGUUUCCUGUUAUCUAACCUCAGCCUUAUCUUCCCCAUUCGCAGCUUCCUCUCGAAGGAGGAGCGGCCCCUUCAAAAACGAGCUGUGUGCCUGGGCUGUGCCCCCACCACUGGGGCCAGCCCCAUGCUGGUGCCCCUGCCCUGGUGGGGCCCGGCUAGCUCAGCACGGCUGUCAGAUGAGUGGUCACCUGCGCACCUCCUUCCCUCCCCUUCACAGCUGAAGGCAGAGUCCUCUGAGCACUGCGGAGGAGCCAGGGCAGGGGCUGGAGAUCAAAGGUGAGUACAGGGGGAUGCGGGAGGGCACGCGGCCAGCAAUGCCAGGUAAUGGGUUUAUCAGGCCCUUCCUGGUCCUUUUGCGCAAGCUGUGAGGUGCUGGUUGCAGCGUUUCUGGUUCCUGCUCUUGCAAGCUGUUCCUGCAGCCAUAAGCGAAACCCACAACCUCCUCACCCGAGUGUUUGAAUGGUGCCUUGUGCUUGUGACUCUCUGUGUGCUGAGCUGUGGGGCAGACAGGAGCGGGGACCAGUGCAUCCUGUUUUUCUGUCCCUUACAGCAAUCCCGGGCCUGAGGUC